GAUGAACGCUAGCGAUAGGCUUAACACAUGCAAGUCGAGGGGCAGCAUGAACAAAGCUUGCUUUGUUUGAUGGCGACCGGCGCACGGGUGCGUAACACGUAUGCAACUUACCCAUAAAGCGAGGAUAACCCGGAGAAAUUCGGACUAAUACUCGAUGGUAUUAUUGGGAGGCAUCUUCUAAUAAUUAAAGAUUUAUCGAUUAUGGAUAGGCAUGCGCAUGAUUAGCUAGUUGGUGAGGUAACGGCUCACCAAGGCGACGAUCAUUAGGGGUUCUGAGAGGAAGGUCCCCCACACUGGUACUGAGACACGGACCAGACUCCUACGGGAGGCAGCAGUGAUGAAUAUUGGUCAAUGGACGAGAGUCUGAACCAGCCAAGUCGCGUGAAGGAAGACUGCCCUAAGGGUUGUAAACUUCUUUUGUGUGGGAAUAAAAAGAGGGACGUGUCCCUCAUUGUAUGUACCAUACGAAUAAGGAUCGGCUAACUCCGUGCCAGCCGCCGCUGUAAUAC
rnacentral:rRNA from 1 species